CUGUGUGUUGUUGGGUAGGGGAGCGUUCUGUAAGCCUGUGAAGGUGUGUCGUGAGGCAUGCUGGAGGUAUCAGAAGUGCGAAUGCUGACAUAAGUAACGAUAAAGCGGGUGAAAAGCCCGCUCGCCGGAAGACCAAGGGUUCCUGUCCAACGUUAAUCGGGGCAGGGUGAGUCGACCCCUAAGGCGAGGCCGAAAGGCGUAGUCGAUGGGAAACGGGUUAAUAUUCCCGUACUUGGUGUUACUGCGAAGGGGGGACGGAGAAGGCUAUGUUGGCCGGGCGACGGUUGUCCCGGUUUAAGCGUGUAGGUGUGUGUUCCAGGUAAAUCCGGUUCACUUUAACACUGAGGCGUGACGACGAGGCACUACGGUGCUGAAGCAACAAAUGCCCUGCUUCCAGGAAAAGCCUCUAAGCAUCAGGUAACAUCAAAUCGUACCCCAAACCGACACAGGUGGUCAGGUAGAGAAUACCAAGGCGCUUGAGAGAACUCGGGUGAAGGAACUAGGCAAAAUGGUGCCGUAACUUCGGGAGAAGGCACGCUGACACGUAGGUGAAGUGAUUUACUCAUGGAGCUGAAGUCAGUCGAAGAUACCAGCUGGCUGCAACUGUUUAUUAAAAACACAGCACUGUGCAAACACGAAAGUGGACGUAUACGGUGUGACGCCUGCCCGGUGCCGGAAGGUUAAUUGAUGGGGUCAGCGCAAGCGAAGCUCCUGAUCGAAGCCCCGGUAAACGGCGGCCGUAACUAUAACGGUCCUAAGGUAGCGAAAUUCCUUGUCGGGUAAGUUCCGACCUGCACGAAUGGCGUAAUGAUGGCCAGGCUGUCUCCACCCGAGACUCAGUGAAAUUGAACUCGCUGUGAAGAUGCAGUGUACCCGCGGCAAGACGGAAAGACCCCGUGAACCUUUACUAUAGCUUGACACUGAACAUUGAGCCUUGAUGUGUAGGAUAGGUGGGAGGCUUUGAAGUGUGGACGCCAGUCUGCAUGGAGCCGACCUUGAAAUACCACCCUUUAAUGUUUGAUGUUCUAACGUGGACCCGUGAUCCGGGUUGCGGACAGUGUCUGGUGGGUAGUUUGACUGGGGCGGUCUCCUCCUAAAGAGUAACGGAGGAGCACGAAGGUUGGCUAAUCCUGGUCGGACAUCAGGAGGUUAGUGCAAUGGCAUAAGCCAGCUUGACUGCGAGCGUGACGGCGCGAGCAGGUGCGAAAGCAGGUCAUAGUGAUCCGGUGGUUCUGAAUGGAAGGGCCAUCGCUCAACGGAUAAAAGGUACUCCGGGGAUAACAGGCUGAUACCGCCCAAGAGUUCAUAUCGACGGCGGUGUUUGGCACCUCGAUGUCGGCUCAUCACAUCCUGGGGCUGAAGUAGGUCCCAAGGGUAUGGCUGUUCGCCAUUUAAAGUGGUACGCGAGCUGGGUUUAGAACGUCGUGAGACAGUUCGGUCCCUAUCUGCCGUGGGCGCUGGAGAACUGAGGGGGGCUGCUCCUAGUACGAGAGGACCGGAGUGGACGCAUCACUGGUGUUCGGGUUGUCAUGCCAAUGGCACUGCCCGGUAGCUAAAUGCGGAAGAGAUAAGUGCUGAAAGCAUCUAAGCACGAAACUUGCCCCGAG
rnacentral:rRNA from 1 species